AUGGCGGCUAGCGAACACACCCUUGGAACAGCUGGUUCUGUGGUGCCGACACCUCUGCUAACUACGGCGAACGGGCUGGUGAAUCCCCGUGAGAAGCUGGCAGCUGGUGGGGGCAAAAAAGGGGCACCUUGGGUGGACGCUACCCGCCCGAAGCCGGCUGCCGAGGGACCUAAGGGCUUGACCGGUGGCAUCAACUGCUUAAGUUGGAAUUGUCGCGGUGCGGGGAACACCACGACUGUUGGUGAGCUAGUUUCCCUGGUUAAAAUCAACAAUCCUAGCAUUGUUUUUCUUUGUGAAACUCGCCAGAAAAAAGAAAAAAUGCAUCGCCUGCGGAAUAGGUUGGGUCUUCGUGGUUUCGAAGGAGUUAGUAGUGAUGGCCUUAGUGGAGGUCUUGCUAUGUAUUGGCAUGAGAGUCUGUCAAUUGAAAUAAAAUCUAGCUCCAGCAGGUACAUCGAUGCCUAUGUUCAUGAUGGGAUGGAUAAACCCCCAUGGAGAUUGACAUGUGUUUACGGUGAGCCAAGAACAGAGAAUCGCCACUACAUG
rnacentral:rRNA from 1 species